AUGACGUUCAGAAGGGAUUUAAUUGGACCUAGACUCCAAUCGUGGAACAUACUGCUCCAGCAGUUAACCACGGUACAGUUGUCACAAGGAUCCUAUGUCUUUCAUUGGAACCUACAUGGGAAUGGACAAUUCUUAGUGGAUUCUAUGUAUAGAGCUUUGAUCCAUUCAGACGUGCCAGUUGAUAAUAAGAAGAAGAUCUGGAAGAUGAAGAUACCUCUUAAGAAUAAAAUCAUUGCAUGGUAUCUUCAUCGCAGAGUCAUUCUUACUAAAGAUAACCUCAUUAAGAGGAAUUGGCAUAGAAGUAUGCAAUGUGUAUUUUGUCCGCAUGAUGAGAUAAUAAAACAUUUGUCCUUCCAUUGUAAAUUGGCUCGUUCUAUAUUGUGA
rnacentral:rRNA from 1 species